UGGGGAAUUUUGGACAAUGGGGGAAACCCUGAUCCAGCCAUCCCGCGUGUGCGAUGAAGGCCUUCGGGUUGUAAAGCACUUUUGGCAGGAAAGAAACGUCGCGGGUUAAUACCCCGCGAAACUGACGGUACCUGCAGAAUAAGCACCGGCUAACUACGUGCCAGCAGCCGCGGUAAUACGUAGGGUGCAAGCGUUAAUCGGAAUUACUGGGCGUAAAGCGUGCGCAGGCGGUUCGGAAAGAAAGAUGUGAAAUCCCAGAGCUUAACUUUGGAACUGCAUUUUUAACUACCGGGCUAGAGUGUGUCAGAGGGAGGUGGAAUUCCGCGUGUAGCAGUGAAAUGCGUAGAUAUGCGGAGGAACACCGAUGGCGAAGGCAGCCUCCUGGGAUAACACUGACGCUCAUGCACGAAAGCGUGGGGAGCAAACAGGAUUAGAUACCCUGGUAGUCCACGCCCUAAACGAUGUCAACUAGCUGUUGGGGCCUUCGGGCCUUGGUAGCGCAGCUAACGCGUGAAGUUGACCGCCUGGGGAGUACGGUCGCAAGAUUAAAACUUAAAUGAAUUGACGGGGUCAUAGCUGUUU
rnacentral:rRNA from 1 species